GACGAACGCUGGCGGCGUGCUUAACACAUGCAAGUCGAACGAUGAAGCCCAGCUUGCUGGGUGGAUUAGUGGCGAACGGGUGAGCAACACGUGGGCAACCUGCCCCAAACUCUGGGAUAACUCCUCGAAAGAGGUGCUAAUACCGGAUACGAACUAGACAGACAUCUGUACUAGUUGGAAAGUUUUUCGGUUUGGGAUGGGGCCGCGGCCUAUCAGCUUGUUGGUGAGGUAACGGCUCACCAAGGCUACGACGGGUAACCGGCCUGAGAGGGCGAACGGUCACACUGGGAAUGAGACACGGCCCAGACUCCUACGGGAGGCAGCAGUGGGGAAUAUUGCGCAAUGGGCGAAAGCCUGACGCAGCGACGCCGCGUGAGGGAUGAAGGUCUUCGGAUCGUAAACCUCUUUCAGUAGGGACAAAGCGAAAGUGACGGUACCUAAAGAAGAAGCACCGGCUAACUACGUGCCAGCAGCCGCGGUAAGAC
rnacentral:rRNA from 1 species